rnacentral:rRNA from 1 species
CCGCCCGUCACACCAUGGGAGUUUGUUGCACCAGAAGCAGGUAGCUGAGCCGCAAGGGGGGCGCUUGCCACGGUGUGGCCGAUGACUGGGGUG